rnacentral:tRNA from 1 species
GCCGAUGUAGCUCAGUGGUAGAGCAGGGGUUUUGUAAACCUCUGGCCGGGGGUUCGAAUCCCUCCAUCGGCUCCA